GACGAACGCUGGCGGCGUGCCUAAUACAUGCAAGUAGAACGCUGAAGAGAGGAGCUUGCUCUUCUUGGAUGAGUUGCGAACGGGUGAGUAACGCGUAGGUAACCUGCCUUGUAGCGGGGGAUAACUAUUGGAAACGAUAGCUAAUACCGCAUAACAAUGGAUGACACAUGUCAUUUAUUUGAAAGGGGCAAUUGCUCCACUACAAGAUGGACCUGCGUUGUAUUAGCUAGUAGGUGAGGUAAUGGCUCACCUAGGCGACGAUACAUAGCCGACCUGAGAGGGUGAUCGGCCACACUGGGACUGAGACACGGCCCAGACUCCUACGGGAGGCAGCAGUAGGGAAUCUUCGCCAAUGGGGGCAACCCUGACCGAGCAACGCCGCGUGAGUGAAGAAGGUUUUCGGAUCGUAAAGCUCUGUUGUAAGUCAAGAACGGGUGUGAGAGUGGAAAGUUCACACUGUGACGGUAGCUUACCAGAAAGGGACGGCUAACUACGUG
rnacentral:rRNA from 1 species